rnacentral:rRNA from 1 species
GACGAACGCUGGCGGCGUGCCUAAUACAUGCAAGUAGAACGCUGAAGGAGGAGCUUGCUUCUCCGGAUGAGUUGCGAACGGGUGAGUAACGCGUAGGUAACCUGCCUGGUAGCGGGGGAUAACUAUUGGAAACGAUAGCUAAUACCGCAUAAGAGUAGAUGUCGCAUGACAUUUGCUUAAAAGGUGCAACUGCACCACUACCAGAUGGACCUGCGUUGUAUUAGCUAGUUGGUGAGGUAACGGCUCACCAAGGCAACGAUACAUAGCCGACCUGAGAGGGGGAUCGGCCACACUGGGACUGAGACACGGCCCAGACUCCUACGGGAGGCAGCAGUAGGGAAUCUUCGGCAAUGGACGGAAGUCUGACCGAGCAACGCCGCGUGAGUGAAGAAGGGUUUCGGAUCGUAAAGCUCUGUUGUAAGAGAAGAACGAGUGUGAGAGUGGAAAGUUCACACUGUGACGGUAUCUGACCAGAAAGGGACGGCUAACUACGUG